rnacentral:lncRNA from 1 species
CCGGACAGAGUCUCCAAACCACCAACCAGCCCUGACUGUUUCACAUUUACAUAAAGAAUUUACUAAAAAUGUUCAUUGUCCUAUUAACAAUCAUGAUUCAUUUAUUAAUUCAACCCGAUUUGAACUAGAGGCACAUAUAGCCUUAUAGCUCCUGCCUCAUCUGAACCUAGUACUUUCGACACAGAGUAGAGAUUUAUGUGUACAAGUUAAACCCACAUAGAGUUCAAAUCCUGAAUCUUUUUAGCUUUGAACCACUAAAUUGGACUCAACUCGCCUAUUUACCACCUCUAAUUAGAUUUAACAAUCACAGUGAUAAAGAGGACUUACAAGAAGAGAGAAGCCGGUAACAUUGGUUAUAGAAGUAGCAAUAGCAACACUUGAGAGUGAAAUCUGGUCAAGAUGUCCAACCAUCAUCAUGGAUACAACUUGCAAUAGAUACUGCAAUACGGAAACUGCCACCAUUGGUGCUGCUAUAUAACUCAACUUCUUCAGUUCUUGACAAUAAG